rnacentral:piRNA from 1 species
GAUCCAGAUGUUGCCAAGGAAACCCAGAG